GAUGAACGCUGGCGGCGUGCUUAACACAUGCAAGUCGAACGGAAAGGCCCAAGCUUGCUUGGGUACUCGAGUGGCGAACGGGUGAGUAACACGUGGGUGAUCUGCCCUGCACUUCGGGAUAAGCCUGGGAAACUGGGUCUAAUACCGGAUAGGACGAUGGUUUGGAUGCCAUUGUGGAAAGUUUUUUCGGUGUGGGAUGAGCUCGCGGCCUAUCAGCUUGUUGGUGGGGUAAUGGCCUACCAAGGCGUCGACGGGUAGCCGGCCUGAGAGGGUGUACGGCCACAUUGGGACUGAGAUACGGCCCAGACUCCUACGGGAGGCAGCAGUGGGGAAUAUUGCACAAUGGGCGCAAGCCUGAUGCAGCGACGCCGCGUGGGGGAUGACGGCCUUCGGGUUGUAAACUCCUUUCGCUAGGGACGAAGCGUUUUUGUGACGGUACCUUGAGAAGAAGCACCGGCUAACUACGUG
rnacentral:rRNA from 1 species